rnacentral:rRNA from 1 species
GACGAACGCUGGCGGCGUGCUUAACACAUGCAAGUCGAACGGAAAGGCCCUGCUUUUGUGGGGUGCUCGAGUGGCGAACGGGUGAGUAACACGUGAGUAACCUUCCCUUGACUUUGGGAUAACUUCAGGAAACUGGGGCUAAUACCGGAUAGGAGCUCCUGCUGCAUGGUGGGGGUUGGAAAGUUUCGGCGGUUGGGGAUGGACUCGCGGCUUAUCAGCUUGUUGGUGGGGUAGUGGCUUACCAAGGCUUUGACGGGUAGCCGGCCUGAGAGGGUGACCGGCCACAUUGGGACUGAGAUACGGCCCAGACUCCUACGGGAGGCAGCAGUGGGGAAUAUUGCACAAUGGGCGGAAGCCUGAUGCAGCAACGCCGCGUGCGGGAUGACGGCCUUCGGGUGGUAAACCGCUUUCGCCUGUGACGAAGCGUGAGUGACGGUAAUGGGUAAAGAAGCACCGGCUAACUACGU